CUCGUGUUGUAUUUUCGUGGCAGUGUAGAGGUUGGUUCGUUUGACCCUUGAACAUCCACAGUAUCCAAUUGAGUAUUCAUUUCCGUCAUAUGACCAGGACUGGAUUGUUUUUAAACUUGGUAACAAGUCCAAGGUGGCAACAUCAGAUAUAUUGCUGGCUGUUGAUUGCGAGAUGGUUCUCUGUGAGGAUGAAACGGAAGUCUUGGUUAUAUGUGUAGAAGAUCAGGACUUAGAGGUGCCACCUACUUUAUUGAUUAUACUAUUACAGGACACAAAUAACUGGUGUUUAUGCUCAAGAUUUGGAUGGAAUCACUUGUUCCCUUGCAGAUAUACAGGUUAGAAAUAUCUUCCAAAUAAUUUGUGUAAGGUAUGUUAUUAUCUGAUCUCUAAAAUCUCCUUUGUUUCUAUAAUUGUUCAAUUGUGUCUAAAUUAGAAUAUUUCUCUGUUUAAAACUUGGGUCUUGGCAGUUUGUGCUGGGUUAUGAAGUUCGCAAGAAAGAUGCUCCGCAUAAUUUCUGAACCUCAUUUGUGUUUUUUCCCUAUUGAUUGACAUGGUUGUGUGCUAUUUGCCACGAAGUACGGGGUAUGAACCUAGUUAAGAGUGAUAUGUUUUUGUUCAACUUUCUGGGAUUCUUACCGCUAAAACAUGCUGUAUUUGGUGCACGAGGUGGAGCCACCCCCGACUGUUGACCUUUUGUAUAACUCGAACGAAUGUGAAUAAACAUGAUGAUGGAUGCUGUUUGUACAAUUUUUUCUUCUCUGGCAUCUGUUGUCUCUUCUAAUGGGAAUAUCAAAAGUGUGAAGAACUAAAAUGGAAAAUCUAUAUAUUUUCUUGUAUUUAUUCGCCAUCUUUGAUUCUUUGGUGGGCAGGUGGGUUAAUUUUUUCUGAAAGAUAAAUAUCAACCGAAUAAUCCUUCAACAGCAGCACCUCGUGCACCAGUCAUACUAUAUGGUUACAGUUAAAGUUACAGACUCUUUGCAUCUAUUUCAUUUCUCGAGUUUGAUGAUGACUGCUUUCUAGUAAACUUGAAUCCCAACAAACCCCUCAGCAUUAGAACAUGCAACACUCAUUUCAGAACUUCUGAGUAUGUUGUUGGAGAAACUUGUUGUAAGACCAUCAGAUGGUUGCGGCAAUGUCUACAUCUGGACAACUUUAACGAAUAUGUCAGGGCAAUCUGAAUUUGUAAAACCGAUAUCUGUUACAUUCUUAUUUUGAUGUAAAUUUGCGCAGACUAUCAAAUUAUGCAUUAUGUGCUAAAAGUUGUUCUUUUAUUAGUAAAUUUGCAGCACUAGAUGAGUGUUUGGCAGUUAUCCCUUUUAUUUUUACUUAUGUUGUUCCUGCCUGCUAAUUUUUGCUAAUUUUUUCUACCUGAUGGUCUCGUGUUCAUCUUGGUUUCCCGAUGGCAAUGACAUUCCCAUCUUUUUAUGCUUCAGUGGAAUGUAAAGAUAUAUAUCGUGAGUGUAAACUUUGGUACUCAUAUAUAUUUUCCUUCCAUCUUGCAGGGAUCGAGUCGAUUGGAAGAAAGUCAACACGGCCUUAAUUAAGGUUUGUAAUGAAUGUCUAAAGGGAUGUAAGUGGCCGGAUUAGAGAAAUUUGUUAGACUAGCUCUCUAGCCUUUUAUCUUUAUUUGUUAAUAUUAGUUGUAAUUUGUUAGACUAGCUAGGUGUUUAAAAAUUAUAAACGUACGUACUAUACGCUUUGCUAUGUUGGGUUAAUAUAAA